UACGUAGGGGGCAAGCGUUGUUCGGAAUUACUGGGCGUAAAGGGCGCGUAGGCGGUACGGCAAGUCAGGAGUGAAAGCCCUGGGCUCAACCCGGGAACUGCUUUUGAAACUGCCGAGCUAGAGUGCGGAAGGGGCAACUGGAAUUCCCAGUGUAGCGGUGAAAUGCGUAGAUAUUGGGAAGAACACCUGAGGCGAAGGCGGGUUGCUGGGCCGACACUGACGCUGAGGCGCGAAAGCCAGGGGAGCGAACGGG
rnacentral:rRNA from 1 species